rnacentral:rRNA from 1 species
UGAGGAAUAUUGGUCAAUGGACGCAAGUCUGAACCAGCCAAGUAGCGUGCAGGAUGACGGCCCUAUGGGUUGUAAACUGCUUUUAUAUGGGGAUAAAGUUAGGGACGUGUCCCUAUUUGCAGGUACCGUAUGAAUAAGGACCGGCUAAUUCCGUGCCAGCAGCCGCGGUAAUACGGAAGGUCCGGGCGUUAUCCGGAUUUAUUGGGUUUAAAGGGAGCGUAGGCCGUAGAUUAAGUGUGUUGUGAAAUGUAGACGCUCAACGUCUGACUUGCAGCGCAUACUGGUUUACUUGAGUUUGCACAACGUUGGCGGAAUUCGUCGUGUAGCGGUGAAAUGCUUAGAUAUGACGAAGAACUCCGAUUGCGAAGGCAGCUUGCGGGAGCAAAACUGACGCUGAAGCUCGAAAGUGCGGGUAUCGAACAGG